rnacentral:rRNA from 1 species
GUCUGUGAUGCCCUUAGAUGUUCUGGGCCGCACGCGCGCUACACUGAUGAAGUCAACAAGUUUAUAACCUUGGCUGGAAAGUCUGGGUAAUCUUAUGAAACUUCAUCGUGCUGGGGAUAGAGCAUUGCAAUUAUUGCUCUUCAACGAGGAAUUCCUAGUAAGCGUGAGUCAUCAGCUCGCGUUGAUUACGUCCCUGCCCUUUGUACACACCGCCCGUCGCUACUACCGAUUGAAUGGCUUAGUGAGUCCCUCGGAUUGACAUCUGGCAGCUGUUAAAGGCAGCCGGACGUUGAGAAGUUGGGCAAACUUGGUCAUUUAGAGGAAGUAAAAGUCGUAACAAGGUUUCCGUAGGUGAACCUGCGGAAGGAUCAUUACCAAUUAUCCAACCACAAUGGAUAAUUUUAUCCAUAUCCACCUUGUGUGAAUUAUUGACGUGUUUGUUGGCAGGUUCUCAAAAGCUUCUCCUCAUCGGAAGAGGCUUGUGUAGGGUUGAUAUUUCGGUAUCGGCUCGGCCUGCCAAUUUUAUUAAUUUUUAAAACUUGUCUAAAUAUGACUAGUCUGAAAUAUUUUAAUUUAUAAUAAAAUACAACUUUCAACAACGGAUCUCUUGGCUCUCGCAUCGAUGAAGAACGCAGCGAAAUGCGAUACGUAAUGUGAAUUGCAGAAUUCAGUGAAUCAUCGAAUCUUUGAACGCAUAUUGCGCUCUCUGGUAUUCCGGGGAGCAUGCCUGUUUCAGCAUCAUUUGAACAUCUCAAAAUCAUUUUGCGUGAUUUUGGAAAGUUGGGCUUUCUGUUGAUGUCAUAAAACACAACUAGCCUGAAAUUUGUGACAAAUAAAUGCAAGAAACCUCGCAGAUGCUUUGUUGCACAAAAGACGAAAAGCUUAUUAGUUGACCGUGGUCAAAUUUGCUAACUAGUCUUCAACAACUUCGCAUAUCUGCGCUCACAAAUUGAUCUGAAAUCAGGCAGGAUUACCCGCUGAACUUAAGCAUAUCAAUAAGCGGAGGAAAAGAAACUAAUAAGGAUUCCCCUAGUAACGGCGAGUGAAGCGGGAAGAGCUCAAAUUUAAAAUCUGGCAGGUUUCCUGUCCGAAUUGUAGUUUAUAGAGGUGUUUUCGCUGGGUCCACAGGUAGAAGUCCUUUGGAACGAGGCAUCACAGAGGGUGAGAAUCCCGUGAACGAUCUGCUGGACCUAGUAUGUGAUACAUCCUCAAAGAGUCGGGUUGUUUGAGAUUGCAGCCCAAACUGGGUGGUAAAUUUCAUCUAAAGCUAAAUAUUGGCGAGAGACCGAUAGCGAACAAGUACCGUGAGGGAAAGAUUAAAAGAACUUUGAAAAGAGAGUGAAACAGUACGUGAAAUUGUUGAAAGGGAAGCAUUUGGAAUUAGUCUUGCAAGCAGGAAGUCAACUGCAUCUUUUGAUCGGUGUAUUUUCCUGUUGGCAGGUCAGCGUCUGUUUUGUUUGGUGGACAAAUGGCUUGGGAAUGUGGCUCUUUUGAGUGUUAUAGCCCUGCUUUUGCACUGGACAAGACUGAGGACUGCAGCCAUUUUUGGGGGUGUUUGUUGUUGGUGGCGUCGUGGUAUCAGACAGCUUGCUGACUGAUAUCAACGACAAGGCCAAGCUGCAAGCGGCUCACCGGUUGGCUUAGGUCGCUGACAUAAUGAUUUCAAAUGACCCGUCUUGA